UAAAAUUUUUAUUGUUUCUUGUGUUAGUGGGUUAAAGUAUGUUGUACAUUUCCUCCUCCGUGCAACAUAAUUCUUUGGUGUCUAAUCAAUUUUGGACUCCUAGUGCUACUAGGUUUGCUUUGCUAGUUUGAUUCUAAUACAUUCUGAUUAGUUGAUAUAAACACUUUUAAACGAUUCACAAGAUUAAUUAUUACAUCAUUAAGAAUUUGAUUUUUAUUUUUGAGUGCAUAACAGUGAGG
rnacentral:lncRNA from 1 species